rnacentral:rRNA from 1 species
GUGGGGAAUCUUAGACAAUGGGGGAAACCCUGAUCUAGCCAUGCCGCGUGAGCGAUGAAGGCCUUAGGGUUGUAAAGCUCUUUCAGCUGGGAAGAUAAUGACGGUACCAGCAGAAGAAGCCCCGGCUAACUCCGUGCCAGCAGCCGCGGUAAUACGGAGGGGGCUAGCGUUGUUCGGAAUUACUGGGCGUAAAGCGCGCGUAGGCGGACCAGAAAGUUGGAGGUGGAAUCCCAGGGCUCAACCUUGGAACUGCCUUCAAAACUCCUGGUCUGGAGUUCGAGAGAGGUGAGUGGAAUUCCGAGUGUAGAGGUGAAAUUCGUAGAUAUUCGGAGGAACACCAGUGGCGAAGGCGGCUCACUGGCUCGAUACUGACGCUGAGGUGCGAAAGCGUGGGGAGCAAACAGGAUUAGAAACCCUUGUAGUCC